ACGGUGCUUUCAUUUCCUGUCUCAAAGUCUUUGAUCGGGCCGUUCUUGGGGUCCCGCCCCCAGGUUGCCAACGGACCAAUCGCGGUUGCUUUAACCGAGAACGACGCCUCCUCCUCCCGCCACGUCACGCCAUCCUUCUGCUCCACCCGGAGGACCACCGAGACGCAGGUGGUUUUGCAUGGCAACGGAUGGACUCAAAAUGCGGACGCUCUUUUGGGAAAACUGCAGGUAAACACUAACACAUAAACGCACAAUUAAAGACCACGUUUGACACGAUUAUGAACCCAAAAUCAACAUACAUACCUACAGUUCUUGUAUGUGAUAAACUUGUGCUGAUCCAGAUGUUGGUACGACGGGAAAUCUGAUUGGAUGUACCGCUCGGUUACCAUGGUGAACUGCUCAACGCACACGAGACAACCUAAACGCGCGCACAAAGGAAGUCAAUAUGAGUUGCGCUUGCUAGCAAUGAGCAUAAGCGUGUACCUAGCCACGCCGUGUUAAAGGCGGCGCUCUGGUCAGUGUCGUCUUCUUCGUUGGUUUCCGUGAAAACACAGGCGACGGCCCCUUUGCAGUCCCUCAGCUGCAGGGUAUGGAAGGAUGAGCCUGAAGGCAGCUCUAGCACGCCUACCACCAGCAGAGGGCGCUGUCUGCGGGUCAGGUUUUGUUAAUUUGGCUGCCAUUGAUGAUGAUAGAUGUCCAAUUGUAAGUUUGUCAUUAAUGUAGUACUUAUAAUCUCAUCAUAUUUGUUAAUUUCCAUUGAAUUCACACACAUUCUAUUAAUUUUCCACGCAGUUUGAGGUUGACCUGAGCGCUUGUGCGUCUUGCUGCUCGAAGGCGGGGUCCGACGUCAAAAUCCUGCUCGACCAGGAGAGGGCGGCGUUCAUCUGGGCUGAAGUCAGACCGCCUCCGCCAGGCGGCAACAGUGAACUGAGAGACAAGGACGCCCAACAGUCCUCUUCGAGGGACUCGCGGAGCUCUGACAGGAGCAACGGACAUUUGCUGCGUAGGACCGGGACGGAGCAGAACGGGAGAGCCGAUCAGCUCCACGUGGCCCCGAGGCUCCGAAGGCUCUUGCCCGACGGCGUUAUGGGGGAAGUAGUGCCAGUGGGGGAGGAAGACCAGACGACCCAUCCA